GUUCCCAGCUUCUCUGUCCCAGGGGUCCACCUGCUGGCCUGUUCCCACAGCUCCUUCACCACAAGGUGCCAACACUGUAUGGCCCUGACUCGGGCACUUCCGCCUGGGACUGCUACUGGGAGGGCCUGAGCUCUCUGAUGUGCCUCCUGGGGCUGGCUGCUGGCCUUUGGGGUCUGUGGCUCCUCGUCCCUGAGCAGGAGUGAGAGCUGGACAGGGAGGUGUGUCCCAGCCUUCAUGCCUGGACUGUAAGGUGCACGAAGGGGCCAAAGCAGGCGAGAGCACCCCUUCCACUCUCUCCCCCGACUGCGGCUGGAGACUUGGUGAGAUGGGAGGGCAGCUGAAGGCUCUGGGGGUCCUGUUUCCAGUUUGCUGGGCACCACGCCAGCAGUGGUCCUCCUCUCAGUGCUGAGCACAGCAGUCCCCGCCAUACCACCCAGGGGGGUGACCACACUGUAGGAGCAGGGGUGGGUCAGAGUGUCUGUUCUGAGCUGUUUCCAGGAACUUCUGGUGUCCCUGUUCCAGUGGCCCAUCCCUGGGCACUCUGUUCCAGUGCCCCCUUGUCCUGUGCUCCUGUCCUGGCACCGACCAUCCUGUCCGUAUGCACUGACUGUGUGUAUGCCUAGAGGUGUGUCUGACCUGUGCACCCCAAAAAGUGGGCACCAGGGUGCAGGUGCAGUCAGUGGAGAGAGGGAUUUUCCCCAGAGUCCAUCAACCCUUCCCCAUGCUGAGGGUAGCAGAGUUCCAACUGGCCUAGGCCACUGGCCACUAACAGACACCACUGGAUCCUAACAGAACUGAGACUCCAGGACUCACCAAGCUUGGUGGCUGAAAGACAGGGGAAGGUGGGACGCAAGCCCUGGGUCCCCCCAGGACUGAAUCCUGUGAGGGUCCUGUACCCUGGGGGUGCAGGGCAGCAGGCAGUAGCCCAUCAGGCUGGCUGCCCAGGGGAGGGGUGCACUGCUAACUAGGCCAGGAAUUUCUGGGGGCUGGGCAGAGGUGACCUGAGCUUGCCUCCCACAGGAUGGCCGCCCUGGGAAUUCCCACGGCCUUGUUCUCCCUGCUUAGCAGGUACCUGGCAAGGCUAAGAGGUCCAGGCUCCAC
rnacentral:lncRNA from 1 species